UAUCACUCAGCUUAGCAAUCUGGCCCCUUCGGCGCUCCUGAGUUGUAAUUUGAAGGAACGGUAUCUUUGGUUUUGGCUCUUGUCUAUGUUCCUUGGAACAGGACGUCACAGAGGGUGAGAAUCCCGUGCGAUGAGAUGCCCAAUUCCAUGUAAAGUUCCUUCGACGAGUCGAGUUGUUUGGGAAUGCAGCUCUAAGUGGGUGGUAAAUUCCAUCUAAAGCUAAAUAUUGGCGAGAGACCGAUAGCGAACAAGUACUGUGAAGGAAAGAUGAAAAGAACUUUGAAAAGAGAGUGAAAAAGUACGUGAAAUUGUUGAAAGGGAAGGGCUUGAGGUCAGACUUGGUUUUACCAGGCCAGCAUCAGUUUGGGUGGCAGGAUAAGUGCGUAGGAAAGUGGCUCCACCUCGGUGGAGUGUUAUAGCCUGCGUCGAUACUGCCUGCCUAGACUGAGGACUGCGUCUUUGACUAGGAUGCUGGCAUAAUGACCUUAAGCC
rnacentral:rRNA from 1 species